GACGAACGCUGGCGGCGCGCCUAACACAUGCAAGUCGAACGGAGCUUAACGGAAUGAAGUUUUCGGACGGAAUGAAGAUAAGCUUAGUGGCGAACGGGUGAGUAACACGUGAGCAAUCUGCCUUCGAGAGGGGGACAACAGUUGGAAACGACUGCUAAUACCGCAUAAGACCACAGCCUCGCAUGGGGCAGGGGUCAAAGGAGAGAUCCGCUUGAAGAUGAGCUCGCGACCGAUUAGAUAGUUGGUGAGGUAACGGCCCACCAAGUCGACGAUCGGUAGCCGGACUGAGAGGUUGAACGGCCACAUUGGGACUGAGACACGGCCCAGACUCCUACGGGAGGCAGCAGUAGGGAAUAUUGCACAAUGGGGGAAACCCUGAUGCAGCGACGCCGCGUGAGCGAAGAAGAUCCUCGGAUUGUAAAGCUCUGUCUUAGGGGGACGAGUAAUGACGGUACCCUGGAGAGGAAGCCACGGCUAACUACGUGCCAGCAG
rnacentral:rRNA from 1 species